UAACCCCGAGCAAUCAAUGCUAGUUUAAAUCGACUUGUUUCUGGAGACGACUACUUGGAUCACUCUCUGAAAACAUUAAGGUCUGUUGUUCCGAAUGUUGGAGACCUUACCGGAAAUUGUACCGGAGAUGUUGGAUGGUGCAGUGCGUCUGUGUUGAAGAUUGACUAAACAUGGAUCCAGCAACUAUGGAUCCAUAUAAUGCUGAUGCGGACGGGUUUUACAAGGGCGACGAUUAUGAAUAUUUCCACUGGAAUGAAAAACAUGGCCAAUGGGAGAGGUGGACCCUAAACAACAACGAGUACAAGUAUGAGUAUGCGUACAAGUAUGAGAACGGGAAGGACUAUUACAACCACCAGCAUCAACCUGGUCAAGGGGCCAACUGGGAAAUGGAGGCUGGUUCUUCUCAGAUUGUCGAUGGUCCUGCCCAUCUCCCCCUCCCUACAUCCUCCGAUCUCCCUCAGCAGAGCCCACAGGAGCAGCCUGGAGUCCUCACAGCAUCCUUUGGGCUUCUUGCAAAGUAAGUACUUUGU
rnacentral:lncRNA from 1 species